GACGAACGCUGGCGGCGUGCUUAACACAUGCAAGUCGAACGAUGAAGCCCUUUCGGGGGUGGAUUAGUGGCGAACGGGUGAGUAACACGUGGGUAACCUGCCCUGUACCCUGGGAUAAGCCUUGGAAACGAGGUCUAAUACCGGAUAUGACCUGCUCUCGCAUGGGGGUGGGUGGAAAGUUUUGGCGGUGCAGGAUGGACCCGCGGCCUAUCAGCUUGUUGGUGGGGUNAUGGCCUACCAAGGCGACGACGGGUANCCGGCCUGAGAGGGCGACCGGCCACACUGGGACUGAGACACGGCCCAGACUCCUACGGGAGGCAGCAGUGGGAAUAUUGCACAAUGGGCGAAAGCCUGAUGCAGCGACGCCGCGUGAGGGAUGACGGCC
rnacentral:rRNA from 1 species